UUUUUUUCAGCAUCAGGGUCUCGUGUCCCUUUCGAGGGACCUAUAGAAGACUACGACGUCGGGUGGUACUCCGACGAAGAGGAGGACAAUGCAAUGUUCUUGAAAUACUUGGAGGCUGUAGGUAACCGCAAGGGACCCGGAGGCUGACCACGGUGACCACUGAUUAUGUAGCAAUAAAUAGCUUAUCUUUA